UGUAUUUCUAUCCAUUGUCAAUUUUGUCUUCUCUUACCAAGUCGAAUUGAUUACUGACCUUUUCCCUCGUGAUUGAUUUUGUUCUUCUCCAUUCUGGUCCUGCGGGCAAAAUAUGGGUUUUCCUUUUCUUCCCCUUUUUUCUAUUGCUGCUGCUGCCAAGAUUUCUUGAUGCAGGUCAGGUCAGAUUCUUGUGCCACCACACUAGCGUCCUUCUUGCAGUGACAUGUUCGCUUGUUCUCCACUGAGAUUGAACAUCUUUGGUGAGUGGUGCUCCACCAAGUCAUCCUUUUCAUUCUGGACUUGGUCAUCUUGCAAGAGACUUUUGACUGCCUAGAUACAAUUACACAUAUUUGACAAGAUGUCAGGGCCAUUGAACACUUGAAGUCCUUUAACUUCUGAGUACAGCUGCAAACAAUGACACUGAGCACUCUUAAGUACAGCUCCGAUUACACAAAUAAUCUCGAUGACUACGACUUGACUCUGACCGUGAGCCCAGAGAAUGGAAUUAGGUCAGCUAUCAAUUAACAAUCAUUGGACUGAAGGGAUAUCUUUAUGCAGCGCUAAUCUUAUAAAGCAUUCUCCACCUUUAUGCAGCGCUCAUCCUAUAGCAAUUUUCACCAUGCUCUAUAAGAAGCCUGAAGACUGCCUUUUAGUUAAUGAUGUUGUCAACUACUUCUCAAUGUAUCUAUUGUAAUUACCUGUCUGUUGGAACUCAACUACCAUCGAACUUAAUAAUCUUUUAAAUCA